CCUGAUCUUCAGGAUAGCUUCGCCAACUGUUUUAGCAUUUGCAUAGUGAAAUUCCUGUCAGCAUGAACAAUCAUCAUCAGGUGAAUGGGGAUGUCCAGUAUCCCCACUGCAACCAUGGUUGGAGGUUAUCUAUUUCGAUGUACAAAACUGCCUCCAAAUAUGUAGAUUGCUAUGAGAGCUGCGGUGCCUAGCAUGUUGGCCAUUACUUGUGUCCUUCCUAUUGCUGCCAAGAAACGAUAGAGGCCCAUUGACAUUUGAUGCAUGGCAAAAAGUACCAAAAACUGCUGGAUGAAUCUGCAAGAAGCAAGAGAUCGUCUUUCGCAAAUCGAGGGAGAUAUGAUGAACGGAAAGAUUCUGCGAAUUUUUCGAUUGGCCGGUAAUCGUGGAUUGCUUUGGCUGUGUUAGGGGUGUUCUCAGGCUCUGCUCUGUAGGAAAUGCUGGCGCGUGCUGUACUUUCUGUACAUCUAAUGAGAAAUCAACUACUAGCAAGGAACACGAUUGCAUUAAAGCCGUCGCCGUCAUCCUCAUCGCUGCUAUCCUCUUCUAUACCGAAUGCUACCUCAAGACUAGCCAGGCUACGUUCAUGAAAAAUGUAAAGACCCGGUACCAAAAUGGAAAACUCCCCCAAGUUAGAUCUGUGCUAUGAGGGCAUGUCCAUCGGGUGCUGCCCCACAGGUUCGGGUGGUCCAGCUAGGUUCGGUUGAUGUUUCAAACAUGUCAGGGAAUCUUCUGCAGGAGGCAGCCUCUUGGACAGAAAAAGUUAAGAGAGAUGAAAAAAUAUGAGAGCAAAAGAUUAUGACAGUAGGACCCAUAAUAUGAAAGACAUGAACUUUUGAUCAUGGGACUGAAAAAGUCAUUUUCCCAUACCUAGCUGGAUGCAUCGGGGGCUGCAUCUACCGCUGCCCUCAUUGCUCGUGCCCUGAUGUCUCUGCUGUCCAGAAGACCCUGCCUACGGUCCAGCAAUACAGUUCUAUUUAAGGUAGGCUUAGUUGGGGCCAACCUAUUUGUACCAGCAUUCAUUUUAGCAACUGCUCCCUCCGUUCACAAAUAUAAGAUGUUCUAACUAUUUUCUGAAUCGGAUGUAUAUUAGACACGUUUUAGUGUGUUUGUUUACUUAUUUCGGUCCAUAUGUAGUCCAUAAUAAAAUAUCCAAAACAUCUUAUAUUUGUCAACAUAGGGAGUAUUUGUGUAAACAUAUGACCAUGUUUUUGUUCUUGAUGGACAUAACGCCAUGUUUAGUA